CAUACCUACGGGACGCAGCAGUGAGGAAUAUUGGUCAAUGGACGCAAGUCUGAACCAGCCAUGCCGCGUGCAGGAAGACGGCUCUAUGAGUUGUAAACUGCUUUUGUACGAGGGUAAAUCCCGAUACGUGUAUCGGGUUGAAAGUAUCGUACGAAUAAGGAUCGGCUAACUCCGUGCCUGCAGCCGCGGUAAUACGGAGGAUUCAAGCGUUAUCCGGAUUUAUUGGGUUUAAAGGGUGCGUAGGCGGUUCGAUAAGGU
rnacentral:rRNA from 1 species